rnacentral:rRNA from 1 species
CAGCAGCCACGGGAAUACAGAGGGUGCGAGCGUUAAUCGGAUUUACUGGGCGUAAAGCGUGCGUAGGCGGCUUCUUAAGUCGGAUGUGAAAUCCCUGAGCUUAACUUAGGAAUUGCAUUCGAUACUGGGAAGCUAGAGUAUGGGAGAGGUUGGUAGAAUUCCAGGUGUAGCGGUGAAAUGCGUAGAGAUCUGGAGGAAUACCGAUGGCGAAGGCAGCCAUCUGGCCUAAUACUGACGCUGAGGUACGAAAGCAUGGGGAGCAAACAGGAUUAGAUACCCCCGUAGUCCUUGUCUCUUAUAC